rnacentral:rRNA from 1 species
UACAGAGGGUGCGAGCGUUAAUCGGAAUUACUGGGCGUAAAGCGCACGUAGUCGGCUUUGCAAGUCGGGUGUGAAAUCCCCGGGCUCAACCUGGGAACUGCAUCCGAGACUGCAUUGCUAGAGUAUGGGAGAGGGAAGCGGAAUUUCUGGUGUAGCAGUGAAAUGCGUAGAUAUCAGAAGGAACACCAGUGGCGAAGGCGGCUUCCUGGCCUGUAACUGACGCUGAGACGCGAAAGCGUGGGGAGCGAACCGG